GAAAAAUUUAAAAAAAAUAUCUCUUAAAUGAUAAGUUUGGUUUUUACGUAGAAGUUGUAUUGGCUUUCAACAGAAACCAAUUAGCUGAGUCACCAAAGCCUCCCAACGAUUCGAUUUGAGGUCGCACCUUACUCGACACACCGCCACAAGGCUCAAACAACUCGUCGUUCUCGACAGAGUCCAAGGUGAAACGACGUGGGGUGGCAUCCGAUACUUAGUUGCCAACUGGAUGGUUGAUCAAAGAUAGGGUUCGAAGCUCCGAUGCCAGACCUGGUCUGGUUGAUAAGUAUUAUGUUGAUCCAUCAUCGGGCCGAAAAUUCAGAUCGAAGAAAAAAGUGCUUUACUAUCUAGAAACUGGCACCCCUCAAUCUAAAAGGAAGAAAGGAACAGAGACUCCUGUUGGUGUGUACGUUGGAAGUCCGAAAUAAAAACCUUGUUAGUUGAAUAUUUGUCCAGAUCCUGGGUUUUGGUUUAUGCUUGAAUUUUGUUUUGCAGUUGACAGGGGCCUCUCCAGGCAACAAAAAGAGGAAAUCUGAUAGAAAAUGAAGCCUUCCAACUUUAUUUUCGUUAAUGUACCAGAGAAAGUGGAUUGGUUGUUCAGCAGCAAUGCCUCAGCAGACUCCUGGACUCCCUUCCUUGGGGAUGACCAAGUCCAAGUGGCUGUAUCUACUACACAAGAUUGGUCUGCUACAUUUACAUCCCUAACAGCCUGCCAAACUGAUUAAGCAAUGGUUUGCAAACAUUCCCUGUUUCUAGGUAGAGGUUAUAGGUUUCUUUUGUAUUCGUUUAUUCAUUCUUUUGUUCUCUUUCCAUUGUUAAUAUGUAACCUUUAGCUAGGAUUUCCUUUUUAAAUGGCUUUGUUUCAGAACAAAGAGAUGGUUUUCGUUUCAUUUUAGGCCUAAUUUGGGACGAGCCCGUCAAUGAAUUGAGAGUAAAAAGCCUACUUUGGCCUUGCGAUGAA